rnacentral:rRNA from 1 species
AGAGUUUGAUCCUGGCUCAGGAUGAACGCUAGCGGCAGGCUUAACACAUGCAAGUCGAGGGGCAGCGGGGAGGAAGCUUGCUUUCUCCGCCGGCGACCGGCGCACGGGUGAGUAACACGUAUGCAACCUGCCCCUGUCAGGGGGACAACCCGCCGAAAGGCGGGCUAAACCCGCGUACAUGCCACCGGGGCAUCCCGGAGGCAGGAAAGGCUUCGGCCGGACAGGGAUGGGCAUGCGGCGCAUUAGGCAGUAGGCGGGGUAACGGCCCACCUAACCGACGAUGCGUAGGGGUUCUGAGAGGAAGGUCCCCCACACUGGUACUGAGACACGGACCAGACUCCUACGGGAGGCAGCAGUGAGGAAUAUUGGUCAAUGGUCGGGAGACUGAACCAGCCAAGCCGCGUGAGGGAGGAAGGUACAGAGUAUCGUAAACCUCUUUUGUCAGGGAACAAAGACUGGGACGCGUCCCCGGAUGAGUGUACCUGAAGAAAAAGCAUCGGCUAACUCCGUGCCAGCAGCCGCGGUAAUACGGAGGAUGCGAGCGUUAUCCGGAUUUAUUGGGUUUAAAGGGUGCGCAGGCGGUCUGUUAAGUCAGCGGUCAAAGCCCGGGGCUCAACCCCGGCCCGCCGUUGAAACUGGCAGUCUCGAGUUGGAGAGAAGUAUGCGGAAUGCGCGGUGUAGCGGUGAAAUGCAUAGAUAUCGCGCAGAACUCCGAUUGCGAAGGCAGCAUGCCGGCUCCACACUGACGCUGAGGCACGAAAGCGUGGGUAUCGAACAGGAUUAGAUACCCUGGUAGUCCACGCAGUAAACGAUGAAUGCUGGCUGUCCGGGGGGACUGACCCCUGGGUGGCGAAGCGAAAGCGAUAAGCAUUCCACCUGGGGAGUACGCCGGCAACGGUGAAACUCAAAGGAAUUGACGGGGGCCCUCACAAGCGGAGGAACAUGUGGUUUAAUUCGAUGAUACGCGAGGAACCUUACCCGGGCUCAAACGGGGAGUGGCGCAGGCAGAGACGCCUGUUUCCCACGGGACACUCCCCGAGGUGCUGCAUGGUUGUCGUCAGCUCGUGCCGUGAGGUGUCGGCUUAAGUGCCAUAACGAGCGCAACCCCCGCGUGCAGUUGCUAACAGUCAACGCUGAGGACUCUGCACGGACUGCCGGCGCAAGCCGCGAGGAAGGCGGGGAUGACGUCAAAUCAGCACGGCCCUUACGUCCGGGGCGACACACGUGUUACAAUGGGUGGUACAGCGGGAAGCCAGGCGGCGACGCCGAGCGGAACCCGAAAUCCACUCUCAGUUCGGAUCGGAGUCUGCAACCCGACUCCGUGAAGCUGGAUUCGCUAGUAAUCGCGCAUAAGCCAUGGCGCGGUGAAUACGUUCCCGGGCCUUGCACACACCGCCCGUCA